rnacentral:rRNA from 1 species
CAAUAGCGUAUAUUAAAGUUGUUGCAGUUAAAAAGCUCGUAGUUGGAUUUCGGGGCAGCCUGGCUGGUCCGCCGCAAGGCGAGUACUGGUCAGCCGCCCUUCCUCUCGAAAGCCCCGACUGCUCUUCGUUGCAGUGGUCGGGGAGUUCGGGACGUUUACUUUGAAAAAAUUAGAGUGUUCAAGGCAGGCCUACGCCUGAAUACAUUAGCAUGGAAUAAUGGAAGAGGACCUCGGUCCUAUUUUGUUGGUUUCCAGGGCCGAAGUAAUGAUUAAGAGGGACAGUUGGGGGCAUUCGUAUUUAAUUGUCAGAGGUGAAAUUCUCGGAUUUAUGAAAGACGAACAACUGCGAAAGCAUUUGCCAAGGAUGUUUUCAUUAA